GAAAAAAUUAACAGAAUUACCGAAGUAUUUUUUUUUUCAUAUAAAAAAAUAUUUUAGCUUGGAGCAACCCUCAAACAAUACACUUCAAAAUGACAUGAAAAAUUGACUGGGUCGUUCCUGAUCCCCAGGCAGGUCCCUAAAAUGGCAUCAAGAUCAUAAACACAUUUUAGAUUAAGAAAAACAGUAUGAAAGGACUAUGAUGUGCUCGUGACAG
rnacentral:misc_RNA from 1 species